rnacentral:rRNA from 1 species
UACAGAGGGUGCAAGCGUUGUUCGGAAUUAUUGGGCGUAAAGAGCUCGUAGGCGGUUCGUCGCGUCGGCUGUGAAAUCCCGAGGCUCAACCUCGGGUCUGCAGUCGAUACGGGCGGACUGGAGUACUGCAGGGGAGACUGGAAUUCCUGGUGUAGCGGUGAAAUGCGCAGAUAUCAGGAGGAACACCGGUGGCGAAGGCGGGUCUCUGGGCAGUUACUGACGCUGAGGAGCGAAAGCGUGGGGAGCGAACAGG